CUACGGGGCGCUCCAGUGGGGAAUAUUGGGCAAUGGGCGAAAGCCUGACCCAGCAACGCCGCGUGAUUGAAGAAGGCUUUCGGGUUGUAAAAAUCUGUCCUUGGGGACGAAGAAGUGACGGUACCCAAGGAGGAAGCCCCGGCUAACUACGUGCCAGCAGCCGCGGUAAUACGUAGGGGGCGAGCGUUGUCCGGAAUUACUGGGCGUAAAGGGUGCGCAGGCGGCGCUUUAAGUCAGAUGUGAAAUACCCAUGCUUAACGUGGGGGGUGCAUUUGAAACUGGAGCGCUUGAGUGCAGGAGAGGAAAGUGGAAUUCCUAGUGUAGCGGUGAAAUGCGUAGAUAUUAGGAGGAACACCAGUGGCGAAGGCGACUUUCUGGACUGUAACUGACGCUGAGGCACGAAAGCGUGGGGAGCAAACAGGAUUAGAUACCCGCGUAGUC
rnacentral:rRNA from 1 species